AACUGGAGUUGCGGUGUUGUGGUCUGGAGCGGUGUCAAACCUGUGCUACAACAAGCAACAGAACCUCGACUUUGUCGUUUUCGUGCUGUUUUAGCUAGAAGAGUAAUUGUCGGUGUAUGCUCUGGACUCCUAUGAAUGGCUGUUACCGCAGCUAGAGUGAUGGCAGCGGGCGGCCCGGCGUCUUUGUCCCGGUUCAGAGGCGCACUGGUGGCCGGGGUCUUGGGGGACUGUAUCGGCGGGGAGUUCGAGGGCGCAGAGGAGGUGCCCAUGGAAAGCGUAUUGGCGCACCUGAGCGGACUGGAUGACGAGACGAGAGGGAAUGGAGUCCUUGAAUACAGUGACGACACGGCCAUGGCGCGCUGUGUGGUUCAGUCUCUUCUGACGAGAACUGGGUUUGAUGAACAGGAUAUGGCACGCAGGUUUGCCAAGGAGUACAGUGCCUCCCCAGGUCGUGGAUAUGGUUCUGGGGUCAUUCAGGUGUUAAAGAAGCUGUCCUGCCCACGGCUCAGUGAUGUGUUCCAGCCAGCGAGGGACCAGUUCAACGGCCGGGGCUCUUUUGGAAAUGGGGGUGCAAUGAGAGCUGCACCCUUUGCACUGGCUUUUCCCAAUGCGACUGAUAUAAAAAGGUGUGCCCGGUUGGGUGCCAUGCUGACGCACUCUUGCUCUUUGGGUUACAAUGGUGCAAUCCUGCAAGCACUUGCUGUCCACUUCUCUCUGCAAGGAGCGUUAGAGGCACCUCAACAGUUCAUUAAUAGUCUGAUCACAGAGAUGGAAGAAGUGGAGGAUACUGAUGUGACACGCAAGGAUGCCAGAAUUUUGAAGGAAGCCGAGAAGCCAUUUUGUGAAAGACUUCAUAGAGUAAAGGAGCUGAUGGAAAGGAGCAAUGUCAGCAUCGAGGAAGUCAUUUCAGAACUGGGUAAUGGCAUUGCAGCACUCCACUCUGUCCCCACUGCCAUCUUCUGUGUCCUUCACUGUCUUAAACCCCUGGAAUGCUUACCACAGAACUACGGAGGCCUGGAGAGGACAAUUGCCUACAGCCUUGCACUAGGAGGGGAUACGGACACUAUUGCUUGCAUGGCAGGUGCUAUCGCUGGAGCUCACUAUGGCAUCGAGUCUAUCCCACCCUCAUGGAUCAAAUGCUGUGAGGGAGCAGAGGAUGCAGACAGAGACGCAGAAAGACUACACACCUUGUAUCACCAGAUGUCACUGGACAAUGCGAGCAGCACAGGGGAGAAGAGUGCUGAAGAUGGAUCCAAAAAUGGUACAGCGAGCAAGACAGGAAGUGAAUAAAUGUGGGAAAAUAACGGACAUAUACUGAGAACAUCUAGGUUUGAUUGGCCUUAGCAGACAUUGAAGAUACUACUUACAAAAUCUUAAUUGAUAUUGGCAAUCAACUGGACAAGACGAGUAGUAUGACUGUGAGCGUAAUGUACAAAGUAUGACAAUGAACUUCCAUCUGUCUAUGGAGAGAAGCAAAUGGCUCUUCAAAGGCAAGCUACUGUUCAGAUCUGUGAAGAGGACACCCUGCUCACAGUGAGAAUGCAUGUUUUUCAAGGUAUUUAUUUAGCAAUGGAACAUAUUGAAUAGAUUAGCUUUAUGCCAUACUGUGGAACAUUUCAGGCAAAGCAAUAACAUUUUCAUGGAUACAAGCAGGUGGCAGAUCCCUUAAAAGAAAAAUUUCAUAGUGCACCUUUAUAUACUAACUUUAUAUGGUCUGGGAAGAUCUGGUUUCUUAAUUCUGAGAUAGAUUACUCCUGACACUGUUAUGCCAAUAAAGAACCAGGCCGCGAAGCUUGAAAAAGAGAAAAUUUGAGAUUUUUUUUAAACACUGUAAAUACAUAAGAUAAUAUAAUGAUAGAUAAUACUUUAAAGCUCACCUUGCAUAGUUCACAAUAGUUUCAAAAUCCCCAGACAUGAGAACCACCAAGGCAAUGGCGGCAGUGAAGAUGAGGGAUGGAGAAGGGGUAAGUCUA